rnacentral:rRNA from 1 species
CACGUAGGGCGCAAGCGUUGUCCGGAAUUAUUGGGCGUAAAGAGCUCGUAGGCGGUCUGUUGCGUCCGCUGUGAAAACUCGGGGCUUAACCCCGAGCCUGCAGUGGAUACGGGCAGACUAGAGGUAGGGGAGAAUGGAAUUCCCGGUGUAGCGGUGAAAUGCGCAGAUAUCGGGAGGAACACCGGUGGCGAAGGCGGUUCUCUGGGCCUUACCUGACGCUGAGGAGCGAAAGCGUGGGGAGCGAACAGG